UAUCUAUCUAUCUAUCUAUCUAUCAUUUGUUUCCUUAUUUAUUUACUUCUUACCUUUUUUUAACCUAAGUUGGGUCGAACUGUGUCACCCUAUGGCAGUGAAGUCAAACUCAUUUUAAUUCAUUUCAUGCGAAUGUGGUUUGGAAGAAACAAACCCUCCAACACGCGCUCUAAACUUUCAUAUCCUCAGAGACCUCUUAACCAGACUGAACAGACUGAACCAGUGACAGAGCUCAACACCAUAGAUCAGUGUAUGUCAAUGCGGGACCAUCGGUUUAUCCUGGCGGGUGGAAAAUAUCUGAAAAUAUUUACAAUAAUGAAGAUGUGAUUCAAACUUUGGAGACAAACAGGAGUGGAGCUGCUGUCUCAGGUGCUGGAUCAGUAAAGAAGACCUCUUACAGAGUUGUUGCAGUGUUUCUGGGUCUGCUGUGUCUUCUCCUGGCUGGAUUCAUAGCGAUGGCAUUAUUUUUCAUCCAAGGCAAUUCUCAGCUGCAAACGAAGAUGGACCUGUUACAGACCAGUUACGACAACCUGACCAGAGAGAAAGCUGAACUGCAGAGGACAUUUGAUGACAUGGCCAAACAGAGAAUUCUUCUCAAUUCAAAGCGCCACAGAUGAUGUCGAUUGUCAACAAAAACAAUGGACGUGCUUUGGUGGUAGUUGCUACUACAUUUCGCGAAGCACAAAGUCCUGGCAGGAAAGUAAAGUGACUGUCAGCAGAGAGGAGCAGACCUGAUCAUCAUCAACAGUCCAGAAGAACAGGAAUUUGUAAUACAGUUCGAAAGGUCCAGAUGGAUCGGACUGACUGACAGAGAGAGAGAAGGGACAUGGAAAUGGGUGGAUGGGACUCCGCUGACCACAAG